rnacentral:rRNA from 1 species
UACGUAGGGGGCAAGCGUUGUCCGGAUUUAUUGGGCGUAAAGAGCGUGUAGGCGGCCAGGUAGGUCCGUUGUGAAAACUGGAGGCUUAACUCCAGCUGUCGGUGGAAACCAUCUGGCUAGAGUCCGGAAGAGGAGAGUGGAAUUCCUGGUGUAGCGGUGAAAUGCGCAGAUAUCAGGAGGAACACCCGUGGCGAAAGCGGCUCUCUGGGAACGGUACUGACGGCUGAGACGCGAAAGCGUGGGGAGCAAACAGG